GCGGAGGGAUCAUUACACAACAAAAUAUGAAGGCCUGGCUUUCGCGGCCGGCUGAAGUAUUUUUUUCACCCAUGUCUUUUGCGCACUUGUUGUUUCCUGGGCGGGUUCGCCCGCCACCAGGACCAAACCAUAAACCUUUUUUUCUUAUGCAGUUUCCAUCAGCGUCAGUAAAAACAAUGUAAUUAUUACAACUUUCAACAACGGAUCUCUUGGUUCUGGCAUCGAUGAAGAACGCAGCGAAAUGCGAUACGUAGUGUGAAUUGCAGAAUUCAGUGAAUCAUCGAAUCUUUGAACGCACAUUGCGCCCUUUGGUAUUCCAAAGGGCAUGCCUGUUCGAGCGUCAUUUGUACCUUCAAGCUUUGCUUGGUGUUGGGCGUUUUUUUGUCUCCCUCUUUCUGGGAGACUCGCCUUAAAACGAUUGGCAGCCGGCCUACUGGUUUCGGAGCGCAGCACAUUUUUUGCGCUUUGUAUCAGGAGAAAAGGACGGUACUCCAUCAAGACUCUACAUUUUUCACUUUUGACCUCGGAUCAGGUAGGGAUACCCGCUGAACUUAAGCAUAU
rnacentral:rRNA from 1 species